UGCAUGGCACAAAGCCAAGGGCCUCCCUGAAAAGGCAAGAAAUCUGCAUGUCAAAAAGCAGGUGGGAAGCAGACCAGUGAGAACGGAAUUUCCAGGGUUUGAUAGGUCUGUCCUUUCUUUACCAAUCCUUCAUCCAUGCCCGCCCUGCACAUGAUGCCAGAGUGCUGUUGCUAUAAGCACUCAUCUCAAGAAGCGUCAGUGCCCAUCAGCUGGAAUAUGGAGCGGUCUCUUGCAGGCAGCCUGGAGCCAGGGUUGUGCAAACUCCUGGGGAACAUGGAGAGACGUGCAUAACAGGGAUAGCUUCCUACAAAAUCCAGUGCUGCCAGGGCCUGCAGCUCGAGCGGGACACUGAAGUGGUGGCUAAAUCUCGUGCUCUGCUGUGGCACCUGCUUUCUCCCACAUCUCUCAUCUGAGGAUGAUCCCAUGUAUGUCCCCAUUGUAAAUGAAUAUCAGGACACAACUAAUGAGGAUUAUGUGCCAAGUGGGUGGCUGUAAUCACACUGCAGGCCACAAGUGGGCACAGUCUGGAAGUGCUAUUAACACAUCCCACAAAUUCUUCCAAGUUAGCACAUACUUUUCAAGCAGCUCAUUGUGCCAAAUCUGUGCUAUCUGGGUUUUUUAUAAGUCCCAGGAAAUCCCCAAAUGAGCAGAUCACCUGUGAUGCAAGUGUCUAAUUACAGUGAAGGCUAGGAGUAGGAAAAGUGGUACUGAGUUUUCAAAUCUCUCAGGGGUUGAGACAGGGCUCCCCCCAUUGCCUGGCCCUUGCCCCCACCUAUACACCCUCUGCUUUUCUCCAAGACGGGCUUUUGCCAUGCAUUCAUGAGCGAUUAGCAAGUGUCAGAGCCUGAGGCUCCCUGGCUGGCACCCGCUCUACAUCUGAAUGGCAGAGCCGGGUAAGCCCAGGGCUGUGGAAUGGGAUCUGCAAGUGGAUGUUGUCUGCGCCGCCUGACGGAAGAAAAAGAUUUACCUGCUUUUGUCUGACAAUAUUUAGCUGGCCGACUUGGCUGAGAUGGAAAGAGAGAGAGACAAAGAAGUGACCAACAGUGAGAGGCUGGAGCUUUUUUUACCUGGUGUCAUUCGUCUAGGAAUUAAAUCCAGUGAAGGGUGGAAAGCGGGGAGGGGAACACAGCACUGCCAUCAGUUAUUGGAGUAAAGGUUUAAAUUAUCUGUACUUCAUCAUCUUUAAAUUCCAUGGAACUGAAAUUAAGCUGUGAAAGCACGUCUUGUGGGAGCAUCAACAAAAUACCAGAGACAGUAAUAUGGACUGCAUCUCUCCCCACGUGCAAGGUCAGAAGCCACAGAACCAUACAGUGAAAGAACUUCAGACCCCAAAACUACUGUGACAAAAUAAAAAUGCUUCUCCAGCAGAGCUUAGUCAUGAUGGAGCCAUGACUGUCUGUGCUGAGAAAAACAUUUUGCUAAAAA